AUUCUUGUUAUUAUUUAAUAAAAUAUAGAUAAAAUUUAUUUAUUAAAUUAAUUAAAAUAAAUAAACAAAAAUCUAGAGGUCAACAGAAUUAUAACAAUCACGAUGAAACCUUGGAUAUUUUUGCUGAUUGAUUAUUAAAAGAAGAAAUUGCUGAGAAGAUGUCAACAACACAUUCAAAAAUUCCAGUUACCAUUGAAAUUGAAAGACAUUGAAUGUAAAUUAUAUUUCGUAUUGUCAUCUGAUAAAAUUUGUAUGGGUGUUCUUGAUGUUGAGAUAUUGUUUUAUUAUAAAGAGUUGCAGUAUCAGGAUGAUAGUAAUUUGUCAUGUAAUAGUUGUGAUGUAAUUGGAGGUGUUUGGAUGACGAUGAAGCUUGUUGAUCUUCACUUGGACCUUACAAAAAGACAGAUCUACAAACUUGGGAAGAUAAUUUUAGAGCAUCAAUUCUUGAUGACAGGUUGACUUACAAAAUUAUUGAUGAACUCGAAGCAUGGAAAGAACAUCACCAAGAAAUUUUUUGUAUUGAGUUGAAAAAAAAAGAAAAAAGAUAUUUGACUAGAUUAAGUGAAGAGUGGAAGGAACCAAAAGAAGUAUUAGAUACAUUACAUUCUUUAUCUGUUUUUCAAGGACAUACAGAAGUUGUUACUUUAAUUAAUAAAAUAAAUAAAAAUUGGUUUGAUGAAUUAUGGGGUUAUUUCUAUUAAUGUAAAAUGAUUAUUUAAUUACCAUUAUUUCAACUAGAAAUAAUG